AGUGUUGGCCACAAGUAGAUAAAAUGGGUGUAUCCUACCCUCCUUUCUCUUGGCAGCUGAGUCCAAGGCUGUAAGUCAGCCUACACACCUCUCCAAAGGCCUCCAAUCUAAAGCCCCCAGUUCUUUUCUACCUUAUAAGAAGUCAUUGUGUUUGAGAAAAAUAUGAGCUUUUGGCAUAUCCCCAAGAAGGGCCAUCCAUCACUGAGACCAAGAAAUGAAGGGAUGUGACCAGGACCCACAAGGGCAUGCACAUACAUCAUCAGGCACAGGGACAUGUAUGACAUAAUAAUAGCCUUGCCCCAAUAUAGCUGCUAGAGGAGCCUGGAAGCCCAGCUUACCAUACUGUGGCUCUAGCUCCUCAUCUCUUCCCAUGAGGAAAUUCAAGGGCAGAAGAAAGUCAACAAAAGCCUAAUUUCUAAUCUCUUUUCAUAUAUGCUUCAAGUCUAGACAAGGCAAAGGAGGGAAGAGCUAAUUGGAAACAAAUGACUAACUCCACUUUUACCGUCUGGCUGGCAGGAUUUCCAUGGACCUCUCUUUGCUUAGUCACCAUUCAGUUUGUUGUUUUCCUUCUUUUAGUCUUACAACAUACAAAAUAUCACCGAACUUCAAGAAGAAGAGCUAGGAUCCGAAGAACAUUCAGACCCUGUUUUCUCUUUAACUUCGGUCAAGAGUAAGAGUCAUCCUGGGAAAAUGACAACCCUUGGGAGUGAAUAAUCAGUGUUCCUCUCGUGUGUGUAAAGACCAACCUUCAAAGUGGAAAAUGAUCAUCCUUUAAUGAUAAAAAUAAUAAAGUUCAACAGAUGCUUUACAAA